AACGAACGCUGGCGGCAUGCCUAACACAUGCAAGUCGAACGAGACCUUCGGGUCUAGUUGCGCACGGGUGCGUAACGCGUGGGAACCUGCCCUUAGGUUCGGAAUAACUCCCCGAAAGGGGUGCUAAUACCGGAUAAUGUCUUCGGACCAAAGAUUUAUCGCCUUUGGAUGGGCCCGCGUUGGAUUAGCUAGUUGGUAGGGUAAAAGCCUACCAAGGCGACGAUCCAUAGCUGGUCUGAGAGGAUGAUCAGCCACACUGGGACUGAGACACGGCCCAGACUCCUACGGGAGGCAGCAGUGGGGAAUAUUGGACAAUGGGCGAAAGCCUGAUCCAGCAAUGCCGCGUGAGUGAUGAAGGCCUUAGGGUUGUAAAGCUCUUUUACCCGGGAUGAUAAUGACAGUACCAGGAGAAUAAGCUCCGGCUAACUCCGUG
rnacentral:rRNA from 1 species